rnacentral:lncRNA from 12 species
UGUGAAAAACAAACCCCUCACACUCCCUCUCAAGAUUAAGGCUGAAUCCCACCGGACUCCAUAAUACAGCAUAGGUGCAGCAGAGCUGUUUACAUGCCAGUCCUUUAACCACUUGGCCGCUUAAGGUACUUGAAGGGGACCUUCUGGCUGCUGGUGAUGUUAAGACUUGAGCCCCAUAGCUGAGAAAUUAAAAGCUGCUUUGACAUAUGAAUGAACCAAAUGAGACCAUGAGGCUUCUGAGAGAAUUACACAGCUCAACCUUGG